rnacentral:rRNA from 1 species
UAGUUGGUGGGGUAAAGGCCUACCAAGGCGACGAUCGUUAGCUGGUCUGAGAGGAUGAUCAGCCACACUGGGACUGAGACACGGCCCAGACUCCUACGGGAGGCAGCAGUGGGGAAUAUUGGACAAUGGGCGCAAGCCUGAUCCAGCAAUGCCGCGUGUGUGAAGAAGGUCUUCGGAUUGUAAAGCACUUUAAGUUGGGAGGAAGGGCAUUUACCUAAUACGUAAGUGUUUUGACGUUACCGACAGAAUAAGCACCGGCUAACUCUGUGCCAGCAGCCGCGGUAAUACAGAGGGUGCAAGCGUUAAUCGGAAUUACUGGGCGUAAAGCGCGCGUAGGUGGUUCGUUAAGUUGGAUGUGAAAUCCCCGGGCUCAACCUGGGAACUGCAUUCAAAACUGUCGAGCUAGAGUAUGGUAGAGGGUGGUGGAAUUUCCUGUGUAGCGGUGAAAUGCGUAGAUAUAGGAAGGAACACCAGUGGCGAAGGCGACCACCUGGACUGAUACUGACACUGAGGUGCGAAAGCUAGGGGAGCAAACAGGAUUAGAUACCCUGGUAGUCCUAGCCCUAAACGAUGAUUGCUUGGUGUAGCAGGUACCCAAUCCUGCUGUGCCGUAGCUAACGCGAUAAGCAAUCCGCCUGGGGAGUACGGUCGCAAGGUUGAAACUCAAAGGAAUUGACG